GAUGAACGCUGGCGGCGUGCCUAAUACAUGCGAGUCGAGCGAACAGAUAAGGAGCUUGCUCCUUUGAAGUUAGCGGCGGACGGGUGAGUAACACGUGGGUAACCUACCUAUAAGACUGGGAUAACUUCGGGAAACCGGAGCUAAUACCGGAUAACAUUUAGAACCGCAUGGUUCUAAAGUGAAAGAUGGUUUUGCUAUCACUUAUAGAUGGACCCGCGCCGUAUUAGCUAGUUGGUAAGGUAACGGCUUACCAAGGCGACGAUACGUAGCCGACCUGAGAGGGUGAUCGGCCACACUGGAACUGAGACACGGUCCAGACUCCUACGGGAGGCAGCAGUAGGGAAUCUUCCGCAAUGGGCGAAAGCCUGACGGAGCAACGCCGCGUGAGUGAUGAAGGGUUUCGGCUCGUAAAACUCUGUUAUUAGGGAAGAACAAAUGUGUAAGUAACUGUGCACAUCUUGACGGUACCUAAUCAGAAAGCCACGGCUAACUACGUG
rnacentral:rRNA from 1 species